AGAAGCUCAUGCAUGAGAAGUGGUUAGAAAAUCGCAAAUGCACCAACUCUCUUCAUUAGGAAAACUGAACAAGAGGGAGCCACAGAAGAGCCCUUUUCUUUUCCAUCUUCCUCAUCACACAGUUAACCACGCGUGGACCAAAUAUUUGUUCACUAAUUUGUACUUGGACUCAAUGCCUUGCAGUCUAUUAUACCAAUUCAGCUAUUAUGUUUUAGUUAUUUCACUUUGGUCGAUUAUUCUGAAUAAUGUGUUGAUUAAAAGAAUAAUUUUAUUAUUUAUAAACACUUCAUGUUCUUAAUUUGCAUUAUGGUUUUAUAAUUAUAUCUAGGUUCCUAGAUGUCCAUUAAAUCCUUACUUGAUGCUUGAUAACUGAAUAUGGAAUUGGAAAGUGAAGACUUUCAGAGCCUGAGAGUCUAGUGGGAAACACAGGAUGAGCUCCAAGAUGUCUAUAAUUUCCCAAAGAGCAUUCAAAUUAAUAAUUUAAUAAUCUUCACUUUAAAGCCACACUAGAUGACAUUACUCGCUGUGACUGAAAUGACUCUGCCCCCCGAACACAGAGAAAGAGCCUGCAGUUCAGUCACACUGAGUGAGUAGAAUGUUCUGAGCAGGAGUGUGAUCUGGUUCACACAAUUGCAUGAGCUGGAAGGCUUCACUCCAAGAUCUUUGUUUGAAGACACACCAAGGUCUUUGUUUUGAAGACGCACAAUAAGCUGCCUCCUGUGGUCACACCCUGAACCAGCAGAGAGCUGUACCUCAGAUCCUCAGACCUCUGGUCUGCACAACAACAAGGAUUGAAUAAGAUGAGCCUAGCAUGAAACCUGUCCCAUGGGCUGUCUUGAAGCCCCACGCUGUGCUGUGGAGGAGGAAACAGGAGGUCUGGCUGUGGUCUCUAGCACUUUCUCAGGCAUCGCAUGCACCUAGGAGCACCCUUCAGCCUUGCUGAGCCUCAUCCUUUUCAUCUGUAGGUUGAAAGCAACCCCCCAUGAAGCAGAUUUGAGUGUCCGGGGAGCAGUGUGUGUAGAAAUAUUUUUUAAAUCAUGAUGCUCCAUGUAAACGUGAGGCAUUGUUAUUUUUGUUGUUGAGACUUCUGUUGAGGAUCAGUUAUGUGGACUUUCUGGUAUGAGAAGAUGUCAGUUGAUGCUGCUUCUCACUCUCCAGACAGACCGCAUUCCCCCUUGAAUGUGUAUCUUCCUUUCUAAAUAAACCUCUAUGCCAAAAAAAAAAAAAAAAGAAAAAGAAAGAAAGAAAGAAAGAAAAGAAGAAGUUGUAGUAGUUGAGGAAAUUUGGGAUAUACACCUGAUUUUGCUCUACACUUACUGAGGGCUGCGAUUUGAAAAUAUUUUACAGUAAAGACUGCUUUUAAAAGGAGCUUUCAAAAGAAGUAUAUAUAUAUUUUUAAGGCUGUCCAUCCAGAGCCUCAAGAAAAACAUUGGAAAAUCUCCUGAUCAUUUCUUAGGGCUUAAUUUUUUGUUAUUUUCACUAAAAACUGAUGUGAUUCUGCAAUCUGUGUAUGGGGUGAAGGUGGGAGUUCAUAACCCACUUGAAUCAAAGUGUGGAAUAUGAUAUGUCAAGAAAUUUGUAAUGUUUUGAAC
rnacentral:lncRNA from 1 species